GGAGGGGUCGCAUAGUCUGGUCUAGUGCGGCACAUUGCUAACGUGCUAAGGGAGUAAAAUCCCUUCGUGGGUUCAAAUCCCACCCCCUCCGCCA
rnacentral:tRNA from 2 species